rnacentral:rRNA from 1 species
CGAAGUGGUUUGAGCUAGAUAUAACUGUAAUAUUAGUAUUUUGUGUAUGGUGUGGCAAAAUGAUAUCAAAAGUUAUGUGUAGGGGUGAUAGGCCUAUCAAAAACCAGGAUAGCUUGAUUCUAAUGAAAGGUAUUUAGUACAAUAUUAUACAUUUAUUAAGUGGCGAGGCUUAUUAAAAAUAUAAAGGUAUAUUAAUAGGUGUAUAUUAAUUUAUAAUAAAAAAAUAUAUAGUUAUAAUAUUAUUCCACUUUAAUUGUUUAUAAAUAUUAAUUAGAUGUAGCUAAGCUUUGUAUGUUUUAAUAAUGUUAGUAUUAGUAUAUUACGCUGGGUUUAUUUAAGGAACUCGGCAAAAAUGUUUCUCAACUGUUUAUCAAAAACAUAACUAUGUGUAACUAUACAUAGCUUUUUCUGCUCAAUGAUUAUAUUAAAUAGCCGCAGUA